rnacentral:rRNA from 1 species
GACAGAGGGGGCAAGCGUUGCUCGGAAUCACUGGGCGUAAAGGGCGCGUAGGCGGGAUGGCAAGUCGGUCGUGAAAUCCUUCGGCUCAACCGAAGAACGUCGGCCGAUACUGCUGUUCUUGAGGGAUGCAGAGGAGAUUGGAAUUCCCGGUGUAGCGGUGAAAUGCGCAGAUAUCAGGAAGAACACCCGUGGCGAAGGCGGCUCUCUGGGACGGUACUGACGCUGAGACGCGAAAGCGUGGGGAGCGAACAGG